GAAAUGUGCCCUAAAGCCAAUCAUAUGAUGAUACUUUACGGACAUUUCACAUGUUAAACUAAUCUAGUUUAAAUUAUAAAGGGCAAAGAUUAUUGUUUGAGCCGUCUCAUAUAAAUGUUAUAUGCUUAAACGAUAAAGUCCAAGGAAUAUGUGAUUGGGAGAAUGCGAUCUAAUGAAGUUAGAUUCAUGAGACCAUUCUUUCGUAGACACAUCCUAAACGUUCCUGAUCAUAGGAUUGCCA
rnacentral:lncRNA from 1 species